rnacentral:snRNA from 1 species
AUGCUCACUUCGGCAGCACAAAUACUAAAAUUGGAACGAUACAGAGAAGACUAUCAUGGCCCCUGCGCAAGGAUGACACACAAAUUCGUGAAGCAUUCCAUAUUAAA